rnacentral:rRNA from 1 species
UACGUAGGGGGCAAGCGUUGUCCGGAAUCAUUGGGCGUAAAGCGCGUGUAGGCGGCUGAGUAAGUCUGCUCUGAAAGCCCGGGGCUCACCCCCGGGAGGCGGGUGGAUACUGCUCAGCUCGAGUCCGGAAGAGGAGUGUGGAAUUCCUGGUGUAGCGGUGAAAUGCGCAGAUAUCCGGAGGAACCCCUAUGGCGAAGGCAGCACUCUGGGACGGUACUGACGCUGAGACGCGAAAGCGUGGGGAGCAAACAGG